CACGCAAGGGAGCGAUCGUUACGUGGGCUGCGUCCACCACACCGCAGGGACGUAUCAGAAUUUAUUUUAGUUGAACGACCAGUGCGCCGAGCGCAUUUACAGCAAGCCGAACCGUCUCUCGAACGCAUCCACACGCGGGUGGCUCGAUCCAGAUCCAAACGCAAACAAGGCAGACAAGCAGACAAACCUCACCCAAACAAUCCCCACACGAGACACAGACAAGCCGGGACCACCCACGUGGGUCCCAGCCCCGCUGCACCGCCGCCGCCGCCGUCCACCCCAGACCCCCUUCCGGUUCGUCUCCUCGCCUCUCGUCGCGCCGCCGGUUCCUCCCCGAGCUCCGGACUCCUCUUCGUGUGCCGCCUCCAACCCCACGCUUGCAGCGGCGGCGCCGUCACCGUCUUCCCAGCCGCUGCGUCCAGGAGCUCCUUGUCGUCCUCGUCCGACGCGUCUGCCUUCGCUUCGAGGCCUAACUUCGAUGGUGCCGUCGUCACUGCCGAUUCAGGCCUUAAUCUUGGUGUGGAUUGGGCCAUCACAUUUUUGUCGGGCUUGGGUGUUCAGGUACCUGCAUGCUUUAGGUGCAGGUGUGCUACAAGCCGGCGCGGCUGCACUUCUACGCAGUUCCUAAAUUUUCUUUGCGGAGUUUGGGUGUUGCUUACCUGGAUUGCUUGGAAUGCCAAUGGGCUUGCUGGUGGUAAGUAUAGCAAGAAAGAGAUCAUUGGGUAAUCUCCAGCAGCGCAGAGUUCCUAUUUUUGUGCUCUGCAGUGACACGGAGAUCUUUUGGUCAAUUCGCCAUUGUUCUACAGAAGUUGGAAAGUUACAGUGGAAUAUAGUCCAAGUCCUUUCCUAAGGUCCUCCUCCCUGCCAACAUGUCGGCACAAUAAAAAUAGGUGAAAGGGUUGCCUCCUCACCACUGCCACCAUCCUCGGCCAUCACGGUGCCGCUUGGGCAUAGUCGAGUCCUUUCCCAAGGGUGACAUCUAUAUGGCCAUACAGAUGAAAAGUUGAUUCACAUAUUUACUGCCGGACCCACGGAGUCUGCUCCCAUGACUACACCUUCUUCCUCGAGCUGUUAGAAGAAUGGCUUCAACCAGGGGAGACGUAGGAUGGGAGUCCGGCCAAGGCAACCUGAUAGGGAGGAUAGAGUAAGGCGAACUGUCUAUGUCUCGGACAUUGAUCAACAUCACGCUAAACAGAAAGCUUGCUGAGGCUUUCUCAAACUGUGUUCAAGCUAAAUGUUUGCAGACAUGGGAAGCUGUUGCUAUUAAGAUUUAAGAAAUGUGCUCAGGUUACCCCGCAAAAAAAAAGUGCUCAGUUUGCUAACUUGCAAGCGAGGGUCAGCUCUUCUGAACAUAUACCUCAUGGUAGAAAUGGCUAAUAACAUAAUCAACUUUAUGCUUACAUCAAGAAGUGCUUAUAUUUUCUCAUGCCCUCAACUACUAUUUUAGCUUUAGUAUGCUCUGGGUAUAAGUAUAGCCGCUACAACGGUCAGUACCAAGGGUGAGUGCCUCCACGUUUGAAGAUGAUCUCACAGGGAUCAGGAGGUCGUUCAUGACAGUGUUGCAUCCACAUGUUCUAAUCAAAUGCUUAGCACUGAGUUACUUGGAAGAUAUCAACGAGCCUUGUGUUGGAGUGUCGUGAUAUGGUAUCUGAAUAAAUUUGAUUGUACGGCAUUUAUAAGAGGCCGGGGCGCGUGUUGAAUCAUAUACUACUAGGUAUAUCCUAAUAUUCAUUUAUUUGGCAGAAGCUAUGUUAGAAGUUUGAUAAGCUUAACAUGUGCUACAAUUGUUUCAAGAGCAGUGUCUUUGCAGUGCUCAUACACUACCAAGAAAUGGAAGCUUAUGCUGUAUGGUGUGGUAUUUGGACACUAUUGCAUAUGGGUUGAUAUUAGUUUGGAAUAGUCAUGUUAUUUACAUCAAAAUGAUUUCCCAAAUUCCAUAUGUUUUAUGUUUGUUUUCCUGCUAGCUUAUACGAGAAUUACUACGAGACCUUCUUUGUGCUAUUUUAUAGAACCUGCUCCCUGCUACAUGAGGAAAUCUAGGAAGCACCUUUUUUGUGACAUUUUCUGUGCUCUUAUUCAUUUUGAAAACAGAUAACUCUGUAGCUAUUCCUAUUUUCUCUGUUCAAUCUGGUCCAUGUGGUUUUCUCACUUGGCCAAGCAGGUCAGAUCGGUCACUUGACACAGCAGACGCAACGUAAUGCCUCUGCUGUUCUGAACUUUUCCUGUUCUGUUCUUGUGCAGGCGGGAGUUCCAGAUCGGGUGAUCAAUGUGGUCAUAGGCUUCGGCCCGACCGCAGGAACAGCGAUCGCGUUUCACAUGGAUGUUGACAUGGUCAGUUUCAUGGGAUCAACAGCAGUUGGGCGGCUCAUAAUGGAGGUGUCGGGGAGGAGCGACCUGAAGCCGGUGUAGCUAGAUUGCUAUAAUAUUAUCUAAUUAUGUGCAGGAUGUAUACUUGAUUACCUAUGUAGCAUUUGGAAAUGAGCAGACAUGUUAAAGGUUUCAGUUAAUAUAUGAUGCCUGCUGUAACUGUGAAAUUUUAUUGUCCCAAUACUAUGCUCUAUUCCAAUUUUAAAUUCCUAUGCAGCAUUUCUAUGCCUAAUUUCCUUGUUGU